rnacentral:lncRNA from 1 species
UCAGUCUAUGUUCCUAAUCAGUCUCUGUUCCUCAUCAGUCUUUGUUCCUCAUCAGUCUUUGUUCCUCAUCAGUCUUUGUUCCUUCAUAGUCUUUGUUCCAUCACAGUCUAUGUUCCUCAUCAGUCCUUGUUCCUCAUCAGUCUCUGUUCCUUUACAGUCUUUGUUCCUUCACAGUCUUUGUUCCUCAUCAGUCUUUGUUCCUCAU